rnacentral:ncRNA from 1 species
UAAUCGGUGAAAGUUCGUCACGGGAGGGGCCAAGCCCCCGUAUAGCUAUGGUACUUGCGCAUAGCGAAAGCGGUGGGUAAAAGCGUAUCGACGGGAGUACCGGUCAGUGACCGGGCGAGCAACCUGCCAGGUUGUAACAAGA